rnacentral:rRNA from 1 species
GAUGAACGCUGGCGGCGUGCCUAAUACAUGCAAGUCGAGCGAACAGAUAAGGAGCUUGCUCCUUUGACGUUAGCGGCGGACGGGUGAGUAACACGUGGGUAACCUACCUAUAAGACUGGAAUAACUCCGGGAAACCGGGGCUAAUGCCGGAUAACAUUUAGAACCGCAUGGUUCUAAAGUGAAAGAUGGUUUUGCUAUCACUUAUAGAUGGACCCGCGCCGUAUUAGCUAGUUGGUAAGGUAACGGCUUACCAAGGCAACGAUACGUAGCCGACCUGAGAGGGUGAUCGGCCACACUGGAACUGAGACACGGUCCAGACUCCUACGGGAGGCAGCAGUAGGGAAUCUUCCGCAAUGGGCGAAAGCCUGACGGAGCAACGCCGCGUGAGUGAUGAAGGUCUUCGGAUCGUAAAACUCUGUUAUUAGGGAAGAACAAAUGUGUAAGUAACUGUGCACGUCUUGACGGUACCUAAUCAGAAAGCCACGGCCAACUACGUG